CUCUGGGCGGUGGAUCACUCGGCUCGUGCGUCGAUGAAGAGCGCAGCCAGCUGCGUGAAUUAAUGGUGCAGGACACAUUGAACAUCGACAUCUUGAAUACCUGUGCGGCUUUGGGUCCUCGGAGCCACGCCUGUCUGAG
rnacentral:rRNA from 1 species